AUUUAACAUGUAUUCACAUGAUGCACUUAUGCAUUUUAUCCAACCGGCUCACAUAAUGCUACAUGCACCUAGCAUACAUUCCAAUGCACAUAUAUAUCUCGCUUGCAUCUAGUUUCUAGCAUGUACUUUCCAAUGCAUUAUUAUGCAAUUAUCACUAGUAUGUGUUCUACCAACUAGCAUACAUUUACAUAAUGCUAACGUGUAUGUAUAAUUAACAAUUUCUCAUUAUGUCACUAAGCAUUAUCCAACAUGAUCUCAUAACUCACAUGAUUAACAAAGCGUUAACAUUCAUUUGUAUGUUCAUGUUCUCUAUAUCAUGUCAUCAUGUGUUCAUAUGCAAUAUCAUCUAGCACAUACUUCAACAUAUCAAUUUUUCAUUAUCAACUAGCAUGCACUUCAAUGCAUCAUCAUGCAUUAUCAAUUAGCAUACAUGAUAUAGUUCUCACGCCCUUUUGGUGGUUGUUUUUACAGAGCCAUCUACAGGAGAGGCUAGGGAUCGUGGCAAGGGAGUCGCGUCUAGCUAGACAUUGCUAGGAGCAUGCUAGUCGAUCACCUUGCUACUCGGGCUACGGCCGAGGGUGAUGUCCCUAUGUAUAGAGAGACCACCAUUGUACCUAUUUUUUUGUAUACCCGUGAUGUAUAUGUACUUUUGG
rnacentral:lncRNA from 1 species